rnacentral:rRNA from 1 species
AGAUGGUAAGGUAACGGCUUACCAUGGCUACGAUAGGUAGGGGGCCUGAGAGGGUGGUCCCCCACGCUGGUACUGAGACACGGACCAGACUACUACGGGAGGCAGCAGUGAGGAAUAUUGGUCAAUGGGCGCAAGCCUGAACCAGCCAUGCCGCGUGCAGGAAGAAUGCCCUACGGGUUGUAAACUGCUUUUAUUUAGGAAUAAACUCUUGUACGUGUACAAGCCUGGAGGUACUAAAUGAGUAAGCACCGGCUAACUCCGUGCCAGCAGCCGCGGUAAUACGGAGGGUGCAAGCGUUAUCCGGAAUCAUUGGGUUUAAAGGGUCCGCAGGCGGAUUUAUAAGUCAGUGGUGAAAUCCUAUCGCUUAACGAUAGAACUGCCAUUGAUACUGUAAGUCUUGAAUUCGGUCGAAGUGGGUCGGAAUGUGUAGUGUAGCC